CACGUAGGGGGCAAGCGUUGUCCGGAUUUAUUGGGCGUAAAGAGCUCGUAGGUGGUUCGGUAAGUCGGGUGUUAAACCCCCAGGCUCAACCUGGGGACGCCACUCGAUACUGCUGUGACUAGAGUCCGGUAGGGGAGCGUGGAAUUCCUGGUGUAGCGGUGAAAUGCGCAGAUAUCAGGAGGAACACCAGCGGCGAAGGCGGCGCCUCUGGGCCGGUACUGACACUGAGGAGCGAAAGCGUGGGUAGCAA
rnacentral:rRNA from 1 species